UGCGCAGGUGGGUUUGUAAGUCAGUGGUGAAAUACUGCCGCUUAACGGUAGAACUGCCAUUGAUACUGCGAAUCUUGAGUAUGGUUGAGGUAGGCGGAAUGUGUAGUGUAGCGGUGAAAUGCAUAGAUAUUACACAGAACUCCGAUUGCGAAGGCAGCUUACUAAGCCAUAACUGACGCUGAGGCACGAAAGCGUGGGGAGCGAACAGGAUUAGAUACCCUGGUAGUCC
rnacentral:rRNA from 1 species